AGGACGAACGCUGGCGGCGUGCUUAACACAUGCAAGUCGAGCGGAAAGGCCCUUCGGGGUACUCGAGCGGCGAACGGGUGAGUAACACGUGAGUAAUCUGCCCCUAGCUCUGGGAUAGCUCCGGGAAACCGGAUUAAUACCAGAUACAACCACUUUAGACAUCUCUUGUGGUGGAAAGAUUUCGGCUAGGGAUGAACUCGCGGCCUAUCAGCUUGUUGGUGAGGUAACGGCUCACCAAGGCGACGACGGGUA
rnacentral:rRNA from 1 species